rnacentral:rRNA from 1 species
UACGUAGGUGGCAAGCGUUGUCCGGAUUUACUGGGCGUAAAGCGUAUGCAGGCGGAUACUUAAGUAGGAUGUGAAAGGUGGGAGCUCAACUCCCACAUUGCUCCCUAUACUGGGUGUCUUGAGUGGCGGAGAGGGAGAGGGAACGACACGUGUAGCGGUGAAAUGCGUUGAUAUGUGUCGGAACACCAAUGGCGAAAGCACUCUUCUGGACGCAAACUGACGCUGAGAUACGAAAGCCAAGGUAGCAAACAGG